UACGAAGGGGGCUAGCGUUGCUCGGAAUUACUGGGCGUAAAGCGCACGUAGGCGGCUUUGCAAGUCAGAGGUGAAAGCCCGGGGCUCAACCCCGGAAUUGCCUUUGAGACUGCAUCGCUAGAACGUCGGAGAGGUGAGUGGAAUUCCGAGUGUAGAGGUGAAAUUCGUAGAUAUUCGGAAGAACACCAGUGGCGAAGGCGACUCACUGGACGACUGUUGACGCUGAGGUGCGAAAGCGUGGGGAGCAAACAGGG
rnacentral:rRNA from 1 species